rnacentral:rRNA from 1 species
GACGAACGCUGGCGGCGUGCUUAACACAUGCAAGUCGAACGGUGAAGCUCCAGCUUGCUGGAGUGGAUCAGUGGCGAACGGGUGAGUAACACGUGAGCAACCUGCCCCUGACUCUGGAAUAAGCGCUGGAAACGGCGUCUAAUACUGGAUACGAGAAGGGUCCGCAUGGGCACUUUCUGGAAAGUUUUUCGGUUGGGGAUGGGCUCGCGGCCUAUCAGCUUGUUGGUGAGGUAAUGGCUCACCAAGGCGACGACGGGUAGCCGGCCUGAGAGGGCGACCGGCCACACUGGGACUGAGACACGGCCCAGACUCCUACGGGAGGCAACAGUGGGGAAUAUUGCACAAUGGGCGAAAGCCUGAUGCAGCGACGCCGCGUGAGGGAUGACGGCCUUCGGGUUGUAAACCUCUUUCAGCAGGGAAGAAGCGAAAGUGACGGUACCUGCAGAAGAAGCACCGGCUAACUACGU